GGCAGCGUAGCUCAGUUGGUUAGAGCGUAGGACUCAUAAGCCUAAGGUCACAGGUUCGAUCCCUGUCGCUGCUACCA
rnacentral:tRNA from 1 species